rnacentral:rRNA from 1 species
UGGUGCAAUCAUAUUAGCAUUAAUGCACUAGGUCCUAUCAAAACUCUGUAGUUAAGCGCGCUUGGGCUGGAGUAGUACCGAGAUGGGUGACCUCUAGGGAAGUCCCAGUAUUGCACCAUG